rnacentral:rRNA from 1 species
GACGAACGCUGGCGGCGUGCCUAAUACAUGCAAGUCGAACGCAGUGGGGACGGGUGAGUAACACGUGGGUAACCUCGCAUCAGAGGGGAUAACACUUGGAAACAGGUGCUAAACCGAUACUGAUGGAUGAACCCGCGGUGGAUUAGGUAGUUGGUGGGGUAACGGCUCACCAAGGCCACGAUGCAUAGCCGACCUGAGAGGAUGAUCGGCCACACUGGGACUGAGACACGGCCCAGACUCCUACGGGAGGCAGCAGUGGGGAAUCUUCGGCAAUGGACGAAAUUCUGACCGAGCCAUGCCGCGUGUAUGAAGAAGGUUUUCGGAUCGUAAAGCUCUGUUGUUAGAGAAGCGGUAUCUAACCAAAAAGCCACGGCUAACUACGUGCCAGCAGCCGCGGUAAUUC